rnacentral:rRNA from 1 species
UACGUAGGGUGCAAGCGUUAAUCGGAAUUACUGGGCGUAAAGCGUGCGCAGGCGGUUUUGUAAGUCUGUCGUGAAAUCCCCGGGCUCAACCUGGGAAUUGCGAUGGAGACUGCAAGGCUAGAAUCUGGCAGAGGGGGGUAGAAUUCCACGUGUGAGCAGUGAAAUGCGUAGAGGUGUGGAGGAACACCGAUGGCGAAGGCAGCCCCCUGGGUCAAGAUUGACGCUCAUGCACGAAAGCGUGGGGAGCAACAGG